GACGAACCGUGCGAACGUUAUUCGGAAUCACUGGGCUUAAAGCGCGUGUAGGCGGCCCGGCACGUCCGUCGCUGAAAUCCCCCGGCUCAACCGGGGAAGUGGCGUGGAUACGACCGGGCUGGAGGGGGGUAGGGGGAGCCGGAACUUCCGGUGGAGCGGUGAAAUGCGUUGAGAUCGGAAGGAACGCCCGUGGCGAAAGCGGGCUCCUGGACCCCACCUGACGCUGAGACGCGAAAGCCAGGGGAGCAAACGGG
rnacentral:rRNA from 1 species